rnacentral:rRNA from 1 species
UAACGCGUGAGGAAUCCGCCUCGAAGAGGGGGACAACAGUUGGAAACGACUGCUAAUACCGCAUAAGCCCACGGUGCCGCAUGGCACAGAGGGAAAAGGAGUAAUCCGCUUUGAGAUGGCCUCGCGUCCGAUUAGCUAGUUGGUGAGGUAACGGCCCACCAAGGCGACGAUCAGUAGCCGGACUGAGAGGUUGAACGGCCACAUUGGGACUGAGACACGGCCCAGACUCCUACGGGAGGCAGCAGUGGGGAAUAUUGCACAAUGGGGGAAACCCUGAUGCAGCGACGCCGCGUGGAGGAAGAAGGUCUUCGGAUUGUAAACUCCUGUUGUUGGGGAAGAUAAUGACGGUACCCAACAAGGAAGUGACGGCUAACUACGUGCCAGCAGCCGCGGUAAAACGUAGGUCACGAGCGUUGUCCGGAAUUACUGGGUGUAAAGGGAGCGCAGGCGGGAAGACAAGUUGGAAGUGAAAUCUAUGGGCUCAACCCAUAAACUGCUUUCAAAACUGUUUUUCUUGAGUAGUGCAGAGGUAGGCGGAAUUCCCGGUGUAGCGGUGGAAUGCGUAGAUAUCGGGAGGAACACCAGUGGCGAAGGCGGCCUACUGGGCACCAACUGACGCUGAGGCUCGAAAGUGUGGGUAGCAAACAGGAUUAGAUACCCUGGUAGUCCACACCGUAAACGAUGAUUACUAGGUGU